UACGGAAGGUCCGGGCGUUAUCCGGAUUUAUUGGGUUUAAAGGGAGCGUAGGCCGGUCUUUAAGCGUGCCGUGAAAUUUUGUGGCUCAACCAUGAGAGUGCGGCGCGAACUGGAGACCUUGAGUGCGCGGAAGGCAGGCGGAAUUCGUGGUGUAGCGGUGAAAUGCUUAGAUAUUGCGCAGAACUCCGAUUGCGAAGGCAGCAUACCGGCGGCGAUCUGACGCUGAGGCACGAAAGCGUGGGUAUCGAACAGG
rnacentral:rRNA from 1 species